AGUUUGAUCAUGGCUACAGGACGAACGCUGGCGGCGUGCCUAACACAUGCAAGUCGAACGAGGUCCAUCCUUCGGGAGAAGACCUAGUGGCGAACGGGUGAGUAACACGUGAGAAACCUGCCCCGAAGACCGGGAUAACCCUCCGAAAGGAGAGCUAAUACCGGAUGCCCCACCGAGCCGCAUGGCUUGGUGAGGAAAUGGAUUCCGCUUCGGGAGGGUCUCGCGGCCUAUCAGCUAGUUGGUGGGGUAACGGCCCACCAAGGCAUCGACGGGUAGCUGGUCUGAGAGGACGAUCAGCCACACUGGGACUGAGACACGGCCCAGACUCCUACGGGAGGCAGCAGUGGGGAAUCUUGCGCAAUGGGCGAAAGCCUGACGCAGCAACGCCGCGUGGGGGAUGAAGGCUCUCGGGUUGUAAACCCCUUUCAGCAGGGACGAAAUCAGACGGUACCUGCAGAAGAAGCUCCGGCUAACUACGUG
rnacentral:rRNA from 1 species